AGAGUUUGAUCCUGGCUCAGAUUGAACGCUGGCGGCAUGCCUAACACAUGCAAGUCGAGCGCGAAAGGACCUUCGGGUCCGAGUAGAGCGGCGGACGGGUGAGUAACGCGUAGGAAUCUGUCCGGUAGUGGGGGAUAACCCGGGGAAACUCGGGCUAAUACCGCAUACGCCCCACGGGGGAAAGGGGGGGAGUCUUUCGGGACCCUCUCGCUAUCGGAGGAGCCUGCGUCGGAUUAGCUAGUUGGUAGGGUAAAGGCCUACCAAGGCGACGAUCCGUAGCUGGUCUGAGAGGAUGAUCAGCCACACCGGAACUGAGACACGGUCCGGACUCCUACGGGAGGCAGCAGUGGGGAAUAUUGCGCAAUGGGCGAAAGCCUGACGCAGCCAUGCCGCGUGUGUGAAGAAGGCCUUCGGGUUGUAAAGCACUUUCAGUGGGGAGGAAAGGCUCCGGGCUAAUACGCCGGGGCGGUGACGCUACCCACAGA
rnacentral:rRNA from 1 species